CCUACGGGGCGCUGCAGUGGGGAAUAUUGGACAAUGGGCGAAAGCCUGAUCCAGCCAUGCCGCGUGUGUGAAGAAGGCCUUCGGGUUGUAAAGCACUUUCAGUGGGGAAGAAAGCCUUGGGGCUAAUACCCUCGAGGAAGGACAUCACCCACAGAAGAAGCACCGGCUAACUCCGUGCCAGCAGCCGCGGUAAUACGGAGGGUGCGAGCGUUAAUCGGAAUUACUGGGCGUAAAGCGCGCGUAGGCGGUCUGAUAAGCCGGUUGUGAAAGCCCCGGGCUCAACCUGGGAACGGCAUCCGGAACUGUCAGGCUAGAGUGCAGGAGAGGAAGGUAGAAUUCCCGGUGUAGCGGUGAAAUGCGUAGAGAUCGGGAGGAAUACCAGUGGCGAAGGCGGUCUUCUGGACUGACACUGACGCUGAGGUGCGAAAGCGUGGGUAGCAAACAGGAUUAGAUACCCGAGUAGUC
rnacentral:rRNA from 1 species